rnacentral:lncRNA from 1 species
ACCUAAUCUUAGAUUUUAUUGUUAAACAUUGUGGUAAAUUAGGGUUCAGAGUUAACAUGUUCUAUCAGUUGUAGGAAGGAGGUAAUAGCUAAGACUUUCUUAGAAUAUAAGCCAGGCAGAGUUCUAAGUUAUUUAUUUACAUAAGCUCAAUCUGAUUUCCCUGAAGCCCAGGUUUUAGGUCCAGGGUUAAGGUAUGAAAAAACCUUGAAUGUUGAACAAAAGAAUUCUUCCUACAGACACUGGGCAAAAAGAAAGUUCUUGAGCCAAGAGUUAUAUCUGCAAAACAUAUGGAAGAUUAUUUUAGUUGCAGGAUAUAGAAUGGAAUGAACAUGGGUAGGGGAAACUACAUGGAAACUAGACUUUAAAAGCAAAGCAACUAAGACUAACUAGGUAUGUACUGAAAGAAAGGCAAUAGAAUUGAAGAA